rnacentral:lncRNA from 1 species
GUGGGCAAGGAGAAACCUCAGCGGGGACAGAGGAGUAAAGGGACUGGCCUGGGAGAGGGAGCAGGCACUCAGAAAAGUGGGGAGACAAGGAACGACUCCGCAACAUCACAACUUCACCAAAGGUCUAUCCCAUGAGAGAGCUGUUGUCAUCCUGACUGAGGGUGACAAAGCUGAGGCCUGGAGUGGUUCCAUGGCUUGCCGGAGACCACACAGCUCACUGACCACACUGGUGGUCUUCAGCCCUAUCCCUUACUGUGUGAUCCCGUUCGUGACAAAGCCUGACGCCAGGCUAAGGAGCCACCACACCUCCGGCAUGGGCUCAGCUGCCCUGCUCUGCGCCCGGGAGCUCUGAGGGCCGGCAAAGGCACCUGCUGCACAGCCCCGCAUGCUGAGGUUCCAGCUAGGCCCCACGCUCAUCUCCACGCCCCUUUCCAUUUCUCUGUUAACACUUGUUUGAAGAGGUGGCAAGCUAAGCCUCCUGUGACUCAUCUUUGCUGGUCCUUGGGCCAGGGAGGGAAGGCUGGAACCAGCAGCAGAAGCAGACGGGUGAGGCCAUUCCUGGGGAGCCCCGGCCAGGGGUCUCUGGGGAAGGAGAGCCAGGCCAGGUGCCCGAGGUCUGGGAGCUGGUCGCCCAUGAUGACUAGGGCCUGAACAGGCAGAGAUGAGCCUGGCAGGUGUCGCGGCAUGGGACAGAGGGAACAUGGGGACUAGACAGUCCUGGGCCAAGCCUCGAGGGUCAUGCUUCCCAUGGAGGUGUCGCCCCAGGGCCAGCGUCCAUUGCCUUCCCACAUCAGGAGGGCCUCGAGGAGGAGAGCACUCAGGAGCGAGGUGGGCGGCAGGGCAUCCAGGACAAAACCCCCCACACUGCACAGAGAGAGAGGUGGGGAGCAG